rfam:Candidatus Marinimicrobia bacterium TMED6 42783, whole genome shotgun sequence.
UAGGUCAGUUGGAUGGUUGCUCAUUAUUAUUAUGAGAGGAAAGUCCGAACUCUAUAGGAUAAAGUGCCUCUUGCUGAGGGAGGACCUUGUAAAAGGAUGGAAAGUGCCACAGAAAAUAAACCGCCUAUUUAUUUAGGUAAGGGUGAAACGGUGGUGUAAGAGACCACCAGUCUGUUUAGUAAUAGAUAGAGCUGGUAAACCCCACUUUGAGCAAGAUCAAGUAGCUCUGUGUAGUCCUAUCACNUAAGAGCGGGUAGAUUGCAAGUUAGNUUANCUGUGANGNUANNCCUAGAUAAAUAACCAUCAUUCAUUAUGAAUACAGAAUUCGGCUUAUAGACUGACCUAUUAU